rnacentral:rRNA from 1 species
GCUAAACGCGAAGAACCUUACCAAGGCUUGACAUAUAGGAGAACGCGCCAGAAAUGGUGAACUCUUUGGACACUUCUAUACAGGUGGUGCAUGGUUGUCGUCAGCUCGUGUCGUGAGAUGUUCGGUUAAGUCCGGCAACGAGCGCAACCCUCGUCCUAUGUUGCCAGCGGGUUAUGCCGGGAACUCAUGGGAUACUGCCGUGGUCAACACGGAGGAAGGUGGGGAUGACGUCAAAUCAUCAUGCCCCUUAUGUCUUGGGCUUCACGCAUGCUACAAUGGCCGGUACAAAGGGCUGCGAUACCGCGAGGUGGAGCGAAUCCCAAAAAGCCGGUCUCAGUUCGGAUUGGGGUCUGCAACUCGACCCCAUGAAGUCGGAGUCGCUAGUAAUCACAGAUCAGCAACGCUGCGGUGAAUACGUUCCCGGGUCUUGUACACACCG